rnacentral:rRNA from 1 species
UGAACCAGCGGAGGGAUCAUUACUGAGUUACCGCUCUAUAACCCUUUGUGAACAUACCUACAACUGUUGCUUCGGCGGGUAGGCCGUCCCCUGAAAAGGACGCCUCCCGGCCCGGACCGGACCCCCCGCGGGACCGGACCCGGCGCCCGCCGGAGGAUAACCAAACUCUAUUGUAACGACGUUUCUUCUGAGUGGCAUAAGCAAAAUAAUCAAAACUUUUAACAACGGAUCUCUUGGUUCUGGCAUCGAUGAAGAACGCAGCGAAAUGCGAUAAGUAAUGUGAAUUGCAGAAUUCAGUGAAUCAUCGAAUCUUUGAACGCACAUUGCGCCCGCCAGCAUUCUGGCGGGCAUGCCUGUUCGAGCGUCAUUUCAACCCUCAAGCUCUGCUUGGUGUUGGGGCUCUACGGUCGACGUAGGCCCUCAAAGGUAGUGGCGGACCCUCCCGGAGCCUCCUUUGCGUAGUAACAUUUCGUCUCGCACUGGGAUCCGGAGGGACUCUUGCCGUAAAACCCCCCAAUUUUCCAAAGGUUGACCUCGGAUCAGGUAGGAAUACCC